rnacentral:rRNA from 1 species
GAUGAACGCACAAGACGUGCCUAACACAUGCAAAUCGAAUGAAAACAAUUUAAUUAAAUUGUUUUCAUGGUGAACGGGUGAGUAACACAUAAGAAUCAGCUUUUAGAUAAGGCAUAAAAGAGUAAUAUCUUGGUAAUUCCUUAUAUGCGCAGCAGUGCUUAAAAAGGGGACUCCCGUCUAAAAACGAGCUUAUGCCUGAUUAGCUAGUUGGCGAGUUAAAAGCUCACCAAGGCGAAGAUCAGUAGCUGGCCUGAGAGGGCGGCCAGCCACAUUGGGACUGAGACACGGCCCAGACUCCUACGGGAGGCAGCAGCUAAGAAUAUUCCGCAAUGGGGGAAACCCUGACGGAGCAAUCUCUCAUGGAUGAUGAAUGUCUUCGGAUUGUAAAAUCCUUUCGGCAAGGAAGAAUGUGUAGAGUAGGAAAUGGCUUUGCAUUGACGGUACUUGCAGAAGAAGUCCCGGCUAACUACGUGCCAGCCGCCGCCGUAACAC